UGGGGAAUAUUGCACAAUGGGCGCAAGCCUGAUGCAGCCAUGCCGCGUGUAUGAAGAAGGCCUUCGGGUUGUAAAGUACUUUCAGCGGGGAGGAAGGCGAUAAGGUUAAUAACCUUGUCGAUUGACGUUACCCGCAGAAGAAGCACCGGCUAACUCCGUGCCAGCAGCCGCGGUAAUACGGAGGGUGCAAGCGUUAAUCGGAAUUACUGGGCGUAAAGCGCACGCAGGCGGUUUGUCAAGUCGGAUGUGAAAUCCCCGGGCUCAACCUGGGAACUGCAUUCGAAACUGGCAGGCUAGAGUCUUGUAGAGGGGGGUAGAAUUCCAGGUGUAGCGGUGAAAUGCGUAGAGAUCUGGAGGAAUACUGGUGGCGAAGGCGGCCCCCUGGACAAAGACUGACGCUCAGGUGCGAAAGCGUGGGGAGCAAACA
rnacentral:rRNA from 1 species